rnacentral:lncRNA from 1 species
AUGAGAUCUUGACACAAAGACCUUUACAGUUAAUAAAAGCAGCUAAUCAAGGUCAUGGGAGCUAAGGAAUACAAGAGUGGUUCAGACCAGACUGCAGAUUAUUUCCUGUUCUGGUGCUGAAUAUGUGUGCUGCAGAACCACCUGGGCUAGAGGAGAAGCUACGCCCAGGCUCCUGCUCUGAGCUCACUUGAGAACAGAAAGAUGUCAUCAUCCUACAAGCAUCUUCUGGGCGGGACACGGGGGCAUUUCACAGAGAACAGGUAACACGUGAAGGGCAAUGUCAGGAUACUGGGACCUUAAAGCUCCUCCCUGCAUCUGAGCUCUUGAGUGAGGAGAUCACAGAUCUAUAAAUC